ensembl:lncRNA
GACUCUGAGCCAGCUGCCUCUCUAAGCUUGGAGCUUGGGAGUGCCGUCUGGCCAGACUCAUAAAGGUCUGUUCUACUUUCCAACUUGUCCGGUGUGUUCCUUCCCGGGUGUUCUUCGCUGCAGUCAGCUCCUCGGAGCGUUUGGUUGCAGACCUUGAGACAGGGAGAUCAUCCUGGAUUAUUCAGAUGGAUGAGUCCUUAAAAGAGAAGAAUCUUUCCCAGGUGUGGUCAGAGAAAAAGGAGAGAGGUGGAACACCUUGGGCUUUGAUGAUGGGGGCAUGAAAGAGCCAAGGCGCAGGAAGGAAGAAGAGCCCCCCAGAACUUCCAGAACAGAAAACAGCUUAGGACACUAAUUUUUGCCCAGAUCUGUACCAGACUUCUGAUACAAAGAACUACAAGAUACUGCUGAGAUUCAUCGGUAGAGCUGAGUGCUUAUGAUUUUCAGAUCAUGCUCAGGUGAUGCUUGUAUUCCCUGCAGAUUAUUUUACCAAGGGUUAAGAAGUUGCUUUUGAGAAGGACGUCUGAGCCUUGUUUGCACUCAGACUGCUUCACUGCAAAGUAGCUCUGCUGUUUCCCAGUUUCACCCAGAUGGAGUUGUCAUAUUCUCCCUGGUCCUCCUCUUACAACUAAAAAGUCUGGACACAAUACAACAAAGAAAGGAGACAAUGGCUGCCUGAUGGCCCCUGGACUUGAGAAACGACGCCCUGGCGAGUCCCCUCGUUUUCCUCCUUGCCUCCCACAUAUCUUGAACAAGUUCCUGUACAGGCUUGCAGCUCAGAACCAUUAUCAUGCACAGACAAAUCCUAAAGACCAGGAAAAAGAUGGCUUAAAAACAGAAAACCUUGGCAACACUCACCCCACUCCAGUCAAAUACCAAUGGAAAAAACAUACAACCUGCCCUGGCAGCUUCUGUGGAGCCGUCUAGGGCAAACACCCUGUUCCCCUGACAGGUGACAUUACUGAGUCUAUGCAGGGAGCUCAUAUUCCAUUCUCUGCCUGGCAGAAGCAGGUAGUACAAUGGUUCCCCUAAGGGUAGUGUCAGUGGGGCCCAGCAGUGAGCUGAGCCUCCCCUACCACAUGGCACCAAUGGGAUUUAAUGAGGCAGUGUGCAGCGAGUCUCCUCACCACCUGGUUGAAAUUCCUCAGCAAGGCAUUGGAAGUCAGGCUCCAGCCCCAUUCUAUCCAUCAUUCUGUUCUCUUUCCAUGCCUGGGUCAGAGAAGCCCAGCCUGGAGUUCAGCACCCACUGCACCCAGCAGCAGGGAAACUGAGUGCCACAGAGAGAAGUGGAGCUACCAAUUCGUGCUGACUCUGCAAGUGCAGAGCCCAGCAGGGAGCGAACUCCAGCCCAGUCAUAGCAACAGUGGCUGAAUGGAGCCAGACUCCUCGGGGGUGGAUCACCUGCUUAGCACGGGGCCCUGGCUUCAAUCUCCAGCCUCAAGAAAACAAAUAAACAAGCAGACUAGUUGGCCUGGUUCUUUCACCCUUCUCUGGUAGCAAUGGAGGCAGCGGAGAGCUCAGUUUAAACUCCUGUAAACCCAGCCACCCAGUAGGCUGAGGCAGAAGGACCCAAGUUCAAGGUCAGCCUGGGCAACUUAGUGGGAUGGUCCCAAAAUUUUAAAAAUAAAUUUUUAAAAAUUAUUUCCUUAUUCUUCAUUUUAUUGGUACAUUGUAGGUAUACAAUAUAAUGGCAUUCAUCGUUGGAAAUUUGCACCUUUACAUAACCUCUCUUGGUUCUUAUUUUUCCCCCUUCCCCUCCCCUCCCUUCAACCCCUCCAUCCCUCCCUAUUUACGAAGACUUUGUUUCCAUUUUUCCAUUUUCUCAUAUUAAUCCCAUUCCCUUCUUUCCUUUCCCCUACCCCUCCCACUUCCCCUUCCCCUUUGCCCCUUUUCUUCCUAUUUCACAUUAUCUAUUAUACCUUUCAGUCCUUAUUUACACUUUCAGUUUCUCACACUAAAGAAACUAUUCGACAUUUACACAUGUGUGUCCUAUUUAUUUCACUUCAGAGUAUUGCCUCAAUGUGCAUCCACUUAGCUAUAAAUGUCUCUAAUUUCUUGGUUUUGAUGGCUGAGUAGUACUCCAUUUUAUUAAAAAACCACAUUUUCUUUAUCCAGUCUCCAGUUGAUGGGCAUUUGGGCUGUUUCCAAGCUUUAGCUAUUACAAACUGUGCUGCUAUGAACAUGAGUCCACAUAUAUCACUGUGGUAUGAUUCUUUUAAUUCUUUGGGGAAGAUACCCAACAGGGAAUAGCAGGGUCAAAUGGGACUUCCAGUCCUAGUUCUUUGAGGAAUCUCCAUACUGAUUUCCACAGUGCUUGCACCAGUCUACACUCCCACCAGCAGUGGAGCAGGGUUCCUCUUUCCCCACAGCCCUGCCAGCAUUUGUUAUUGGUUGAUUCUUGAUAGCAGCCAUUCUUUCUGGGGUGAGGUGGAAUCUCGUCCUUGUUUUCAUUUGCAUCUCUCGAUGUUGAAUAUUGUUUCACAUGUUUAUUUGCUAUUUCUACUUCUUUGUUUGAGAAAUGUCUGUUCAUUUCAGAUGCCCAUUUUUGGAUUGGGUCUUUAAAUUUGGGAGGUCUGAUUUUUUUAAGUUCUUUAUAGAUUCAAGAUAGUAGACCUUUGUCUGAAGGACAGCUGGUGAAAAUAUUUUCCCACAUUGUGGGUUGUCUCUUCACACCAUUGGUGGUUUCUCUUGUUGUGCAGAAGCUUUUUAGUAAGAAGAGAUCCCACUUGUUGAUUGUUUGUGCUAGUUCAUGGGCAACUGAGGUUUUGUUCAUAAAAUCUUUUCCUACACCAAUGUCUUCAAGAGUUCUUCCUAAACUCUCUUCCAGCUGAUUUGGUAUUUCUGUUUUAAUAUUUAGAUCUUUAAUCCAUUUCAAUUUUAGUUUAGUGUAUGGUGAGAGAUAUAGGUCUAGUUUUAGUCUUUGGGAAGUUGAAAUCCAAUUUUUCCAGCACCAUUUAUUAAAGAGGUUAUCUUUCCUCUAGUGAGGGUGUUUGGCAAAAGGUGAGGUGGCUGAGUAUGUCUGAAGUUGUUUCUGCAUCUUCUAAUCUGUUCCACUGGUCCUCAGGUCUGUUUCUUUGCCAG